AUCCCGUGUUCACCGCGCGGGCCCUCCCCCUACGAGGGCUUGCGUUGCUCAUAUUUUUUGAUACCACGCCCAAUGUUAUAUUGCCGUCUCUAACAAUCAAUACUACUUUCAACAACGGAUCUCUUGGCUCUCGCAUCCUCGAACAACGUGACGAAAUGCGAUUCGCAAUGUGAAUUGCAGAAUUCAGUGAAUCAUCGAAUCUUUGAACGCGCCUUGUGCCCCUUGUCAUUCCAAGGGGCACACCCGCUUGAGUGUCGUGGAAUCUUCAAAAACCUUUCUCUUUGAUUAUCUUUGGUCGGGAGAGGGAUGUUUUUGGACUUGGAGGAUCCAUGCUUGCUUUCUUGUUGAAAGUGAGCUCCUCUCAUAUGAAUUAAUGGGGUCUGCUUUGCUGGUCCUUGACGUGAUAAGAUUUUUCUACGUUUUGGAUUUCCACUGUCACUUAGAUGCCUGCUCCUACCUGGCUCACAGACUUCGAUGGUGCUCUGGUCACCGCCAUCUACAUUGGUGGAGGACGCUGGACCCCUUGAACUCAAAACCUUGAACUCUACUCGCGUGAGACAACCCGAUGAAUUUAAGCAUGUCAUAAAGCGGACGAAAAAUACACUAACAAGCAUUCCCCCUAGUACUGCUAGUGCAACGUUAAAAUCUCAAAUUUAUAAUCUGGUGGUCAUUUGUCCCUUCCUAGUUGU
rnacentral:rRNA from 1 species